GUGGCUUUCGUCCGACUUUGUCAAUGAGAAUGAUGGCUAUUAAUAUAAAUGCUGUCUUGCUGACUCCCACAGCAACUGUAGCAGCCAGAAGCUUUGAUUCAUCCUCAAUACCAGCUGCUUUAAAAAUUGUGGGACUGUAGUAAACAGUUGCAUCAAUUCCGGUAAUCUGUUGGAAACAUUGAAUUCCAAUACCUGUGAUCAGCAUCCUACGUAGAGCAGGAGAGGGGCUUAACAAUUCACGCCAGACAGGUUUGUCUGUGUCUG
rnacentral:misc_RNA from 1 species